AGGUCAAUUUGGGAUGGGGAUUAUUGCACUUAAUUCACAAAUUCCAUGCCUUGCUCAACUGAAAAGAGUAAAUAAUCAGUGAGAUCCAAUUGUGUUUUCUAUUCUUCAUUCCCUGUGUCCAUUACAUUUAAGUUGAUACCAGAUCCACUAAGUUGAAUGUGAACUCUACUUCUUCUCCCCUCCCAGCCAUCCCUGGACACACAAGGCUAACAUCCACCAUGACCCGGGCAGAGAGAGAGAGGGAGAAGAGGAAGGAGCUGCUGAAGGCUGAGGAGAGAAGGAAGAAGAUGGAGGAUUUCAAUAAGCAGUGGAGAGAGCGGUCCCUGCUUAAAAAACAGACUCAUCAACAACUGAAGGAGGAGAGGGAGAGGAUGAAGGAAAACUACCUGGAGCAGAUGAAUCUGGAGGCUGAUGCUCAAAUCAACACCCGGUGUCUAACCACCCAACACAGCCACGAUUACAACCACGGUCAGGAGUUGCCCGGGUGGGCCAAUGGCCAACAAGUAAGCCAAGAGCCCACUGGAUCUGCUGAUGGCCACCAGGAAAGGCCAAGGAGGCAACAGGCAUGGGCAGAGAACCAGGAGGGGAGUUCAGAGAACCAGCAGGAGGGGCCAGAGAACCAUCAGGGGGGGCCAGACAGCCAGCAGCUAGAAGCUCCAGAAGAGGCUGAAACAUCAGAGCGAAUAUCCAAGACAAAGAAAAAGCCAAGCAUCUGGAAGAAAAUUAGGAUGAGUCAACAAGUGAUGAGCCAGAUCAACCAAUCAACGUCACUGCAGCUGUUCUACCCACCACCCCCACUGCUCUUCCUCCACCACCAACCUCAUCCUCUUCUCCUGUUCAACUCAUUUGCCGCCACACUAGAAAGGACUGGACAUACAGUCGAAGUCGCAAGUUUACAUACACUUAGGUUGGAGUCAUUAAACGUUAUGAACUGAGAGAAAACAGGACCUACCUUUGUUGAUGAUCUUAUAGCCCUCCUCAGCCUCUCUCUGAUAUGUUCUCUCUGUCUUUUUGAGGUUCCUCUUCUCCCACUUCUUAGUCACCCAGGCCACAGCUCUCCUUCAGAUACUUUUAUAGGGUGGAACAAGGUCUAUGGUCUAAAAUAGAUGUGUAUAGUUGACUCCUCUGCAAUAUAACAUGUCCUUUGUCAUUUUUAUUAGGAUCCCCAUUAGGUAACGCCGUAACUCCAGCUGAUCUUCCUGGGGUCCAACACCAAUUAACAAGACAUUACAAACAUUCACAAAUCAAGACUUCAAACAUUCAACAAGUAGACAGUACAGACAAUUAAAACACCUGACAGGAAACACAUGUAACAUUCAGUUGAUGCUUUCUAUUUCCUGUCCAGUCAUAGGGUCUAUUGCAUUAGAUGUUAUUUUAUUUUCAUCUUGAAGGGGUGUUUACUUUUUGCCUGAGAAAUAUGGAUUGGUAAACAGUUCCAUUCAGCUAUGGCUCUUUAUAAAACUGUUGAUUUAAGGCGAUUUGUCCUUGGCUUGGGUUGUUUUAGCUGCCCUGAAUUUGCCUGUCUGGUUUGGUGGUUAUGUGUGUUGCUAGUAUAUACUAACUGGCCUAAAAAAAUACGUAAUGAAAAAUAUAUAUAACAUUUCUAAAAUAAUCAGAAGACUGGAUAGUAAUUUGUUUUCAACGUGAGGCCAUGAGAGAUUCUGAUGCAUUUGGAUAAUAUUCAUACGGUUGGAGCAAUGAAGAGCUAAUCUACCAGCCCUGAUCAGAGCAAUGAAGAGCUAAUCUACCAGCCCUGGUUAGAGCAAUGAAGAGCUAAUCUACCAGCCCUGGUUAGAGCAAUGAAGAGCUAAUCUACCAGCCCUGGUUAGAGCAAUGAAGAGCUAAUCUACAAGCCCUGGUUCCUGCAAUGAAGAGCUAAUCUACCAGCCCUGGUUAGAGCAAUGAAGGGCUAAUCUACCAGCCCUGGUUAGAGUAAUGAAUAGCUAAUCUACCAGCCCUGGUUAGAGCAAUGAAGAGCUAAUCUACAAGCCCUGGUUAGAGCAAUGAAGAGCUAAUCUACCAGCCCUGGUUCCUGCAAUGAAGAGCUAAUCUACCAACCCUGUUUAGAACAAUGAAGAGCUAAUCUACCAGCCCUGUUUAGAGCAAUGAAGAGCUAAUCUACCAGCCCUGGUUAGAGCAAUGAAGAGCUAAUCUACCAGCCCUGGUUAGAGCAAUGAAGAACUAAUCUACCAGCCCUGGUUAGAGCAAUGAAGAGCUAAUCUACCAGCCCUGGUUAGAGCAAUGAAGAGCUAAUCUACCAGCCCUGGUUAGAGCAAUGAAGAGCUAAUCUACCAGCCCUGGUUAGAGCAAUGAAGAGCUAAUCUACAAGCCCUGGUUCCUGCAAUGAAGAGCUAAUCUACCAGCCCUGGUUAGAGCAAUGAAGAGCUAAUCUACCAGCCCUGGUUAGAGUAAUGAAUAGCUAAUCUACCAGCCCUGGUUAGAGCAAUGAAGAGCUAAUCUACAAGCCCUGGUUCCUGCAAUGAAGAGCUAAUCUACCAGCCCUGGUUCCUGCAAUGAAGAGCUAAUCUACCAACCCUGUUUAGAACAAUGAAGAGCUAAUCUACCAGCCCUGUUUAGAGCAAUGAAGAGCUAAUCUACCAGCCCUGGUUAGAGCAAUGAAGAGCUAAUCUACCAGCCCUGGUUAGAGCAAUGAAGAGCUAAUCUACCAGCCCUGUUUAGAGGUAAUGACGAGCUAAUCUACCAGCCCUGGUUAGAGCAAUGAAGAGCGAAUCUACCAGCCCUGGUUAGAGCAAUGAAGAGCUAAUCUACCAGCCCUGGUUAGAGCAAUGGAGAGCUAAUGUACCAGCCCUGUUUAGAGCAAUGAAGAGCUAAUCUACCAGCCCUGUUUAGAGCAAUGAAGAGCUAAUCUACCAGCCCUGUUUAGAGCAAUGAAGAGCUAAUCUACCAGCCCUGUUUAGAGCAAUGAAGAGCUAAUCUACCAGCCCUGUUUAGAGCAAUGAAGAGCUAAUCUACCAGCCCUGUUUAGAGCAAAGAGCUAAUCUACCAGCCCUGUUUAGAGCAAUGAAGAGCUAAUCUACCAGCCCUGUUUAGAGCAAUGAAAAGCUAAUCUACCAGCCCUGUUUAGAGCAAUGAAGAGCUAAUCUACCAGCCCGGUUUAGAGCAAUGAAGAGCUAAUCUACCAGCCCUGUUUAGAGCAAUGAAGAGCUAAUCUACCAGCCCUGUUUAGAGCAAUGAAGAGCUAAUCUACCAGCCCUGGUUAGAGCAAUGGAGAGUGAAUCUACCAGCCCUGGUUAGAGCAAUGAAGAGCUAAUCUACCAGCCCUGUUUAGAGCAAUG
rnacentral:lncRNA from 1 species